AUUGAACGCUGGCGGCAGGCCUAACACAUGCAAGUCGAACGAGUGGCGGACGGGUGAGUAAUGUCUGGGAAACUGCCUGAUGGAGGGGGAUAACUACUGGAAACGGUAGCUAAUACCGCAUACCAUCAGAUGUGCCCAACUGGGAUUAGCUUGUUGGUGGGGUAACGGCUCACCAAGGCGACGAUCCCUAGCUGGUCUGAGAGGAUGCACAGGCACACUGUAACGGAGAGACGGCCCAGACUCCUAAGGGAGGCAGCAGUGGGGAAUAUUGGACAAUGGGCGCAAGCCUGAGGCAGCCAUGCCGCGUGUAUGAAGAAGGCCUUCGGGUUGUAAAGUACUUUCAGCGGGGAGGCGGUACACGAAGAAGAAGCACCGGCUAACUCCGUGCCAGCAGCCGCGGUAAUUG
rnacentral:rRNA from 1 species